AUUGAACGCUGGCGGCAGGCCUAACACAUGCAAGUCGAGCGGAGCGUCGGACGGGUGAGUAAUGCCUAGGAAUCUGCCUGGUAGUGGGGGAUAACGUCCGGAAACGGGCGCUAAUACCGCAUACUAUCAGAUGAGCCUAGGUCGGAUUAGCUAGUGGGUGGGGUACAGGCCUACCAAGGCGACGAUCCGUACCUGGUCUGAGAGGAUGAUCAGUCACACUGGAAUUGAGACACGGUCCAGACUCCUAGGGGAGGCAGAAGUGGGGAAUAUUGGACAAUGGGCGAAAGCCUGAUCCAGACAUGCCGCGUGUAGGAAGAAGGCCUUCGGGUUGUAAACUACUUUCAGCGGGGAGGCGUUACCCGCAGAAGAAGCACCGGCUAACUCCGUGCCAGCAGCCGCGGUAAUAC
rnacentral:rRNA from 1 species